UUUUGCAUGGCACAAUUAUACCGGGUUACAAUUGGUAUCUUACGAUCCGGGUCUAUUUUAUCUCGGUUUUUCCCUUCGCAUGACUGACCCUUUCUGUGAAUGAAUUGAGUGACUGGGAGAAAAUACUCCAGUUUAUUUGUCCCGAGCCG